CCUUCGAUAGCUCAAUUUGUAGAGCGGGGGGCUGUAGAUUUAUAAUUGUGAUCCCUAGGUCGCUGGUUCGAAUCCGGCUCGAAGGA
rfam:Nematostella vectensis strain CH2 x CH6 NEMVEscaffold_40_Cont6579, whole genome shotgun sequence.